CAGUCGCCGCGGGAAAACGUAGGGGGCUAGCGUUGCUCGGAAUUACUGGGCGUAAAGGGAGCGUAGGCGGAUGAAUUAGUCAGGGGUGAAAUCCCGGGGCUCAACCUCGGAACUGCCUUUGAAACUAGAUGACUGGAAUCUUGGAGAGGUCAGUGGAAUUCCGAGUGUAGAGGUGAAAUUCGUAGAUAUUCGGAAGAACACCAGUGGCGAAGGCGACUGACUGGACAAGUAUUGACGCUGAGGUGCGAAAGCGUGGGGAGCAAACAGGAUUAGAUACCCCUGUAGUCCAUGUCUCUUAUAC
rnacentral:rRNA from 1 species